GAAGUGAUUAAAGAAACCAUAGAAAAACUUGAACCAAAGCAGACGGACCCGGAAUCGAACCAGCGUCGUCUCGAAUACUAAGAAAUGGACUAAACCUGUAGGCCAUGCCGCCCGCUGUUUUAUGUGGUCGAUUUCACGCCCUAUUCACGUGGGAAUAAAAAAGUUGAAGAGCUAGUGUCACUUUGAGUGCGUCAUAAAAAGAAUUAUAAAUCCGUCAAAGAUAUUAAUAAUAAUCAAUCAUAUCUACAGGACGUACAACUUCUUUUAAAACAACUUGUAUUGAAUUCAUGGUGAAUGCUGCUGCUAACUGAAGUAUUUCAUAUGUUAGGCAAGAGCUUUACUAAGGACCAGUUACUAAUGUUGGUGGGACAGUGGUACCUCCUAAUCACGUCUAAAAUGAGACGAAAGAACCACUUUACUCUCUUUUUAGGAAUCAUGAGAGUGGAUUGAUGAUAGCUAGGGAGAAACAGAAGAAACGAGUGAAAUGAGGAGAAUGAAACUAUUAUCUAAGGCAUUCAGAUAAUUUUGAGAAGAGAUUAAUAUUGUUAUUAUUUAUACUAUUUUAUAACAAAAAAGAAAUUAAAAUAAGUUUAUUGCUUUGGAAC